rnacentral:pre_miRNA from 1 species
CGGGGGAGGCGGGAUCCUGGGCUGUGUCCCGGCGCCCUGUGCUCCGGGGCCUGCGCUGUGGGAUUCGCGCUCCCGGGCCGUGCAGCCCCCU